ACAGCAGCAGCCGCGGGAAUACGAAGGGUGCAAGCGUUAAUCGGAAUUACUGGGCGUAAAGCGUGCGUAGGCGGUUUGUUAAGUCUGUUGUGAAAUCCCCGGGCUCAACCUGGGAAUGGCAAUGGAUACUGGCAAGCUAGAGUGUGUCAGAGGAUGGUGGAAUUCCCGGUGUAGCGGUGAAAUGCGUAGAGAUCGGGAGGAACAUCAGUGGCGAAGGCGGCCAUCUGGGACAACACUGACGCUGAGGCACGAAAGCGUGGGGAGCAAACAGGAUUAGAUACCCCGUAGUCCCUGUCUCUUAUACA
rnacentral:rRNA from 1 species